GACGAACGCUGGCGGCGUGCUUAACACAUGCAAGUCGAACGGAAAGGCCCCUUUGGGGGUACUCGAGUGGCGAACGGGUGAGUAACACGUGAGUAACCUGCCCUUGACUUCGGGAUAACUUCAGGAAACUGGGGCUAAUACCGGAUAGGAAUCCUUGCUGCAUGUUUGGGGUUGGAAAGCUUCGGCGGUUUUGGAUGGACUCGCGGCUUAUCAGCUUGUUGGUUGGGUAGUGGCUUACCAAGGCUUUGACGGGUAGCCGGCCUGAUAGGGCGACCGGCCACAUUGGGACUGAGAAACGGCCAAGACUCCUACGGGAGGCAGAAGUGGGGAAUAUUGCACAAUGGGCGGAAACCUGAUGCAGCAACGCCGCGUGAGGGAGGACGGCCUUCGGGUUGUAAACCGCUUUCAGCAGGGGCGAAGCUUGUGGUGACGGUACCUGCAGAAGAAGCACCGGCUAACUACGUG
rnacentral:rRNA from 1 species